rnacentral:rRNA from 1 species
AUUGAACGCUGGCGGCAUGCCUUACACAUGCAAGUCGAACGGUAACAGGUCUUCGGAUGCUGACGAGUGGCGAACGGGUGAGUAAUACAUCGGAACGUGCCUAGUAGUGGGGGAUAACUACUCGAAAGAGUGGCUAAUACCGCAUGAGAUCUACGGAUGAAAGCAGGGGAUCGCAAGACCUUGUGCUACUAGAGCGGCCGAUGGCAGAUUAGGUAGUUGGUGGGAUAAAAGCUUACCAAGCCGACGAUCUGUAGCUGGUCUGAGAGGACGAUCAGCCACCCUGGGACCGAGACACGGCCCAGACUCCUACGGGAGGCAGCAGUGGGGAAUUUUGGACAAUGGGCGAAAGCCUGAUCCAGCAAUGCCGCGUGCAGGAUGAAGGCCUUCGGGUUGUAAACUGCUUUUGUACGGAACGAAAAGCCCCGGGUUAAUACCCUGGGGUCAUGACGGUACCGUAAGAAUAAGCACCGGCUAACUACGUGCCAGCCGCCGCAGUAA